UUAGUUGAUUUCUCUGUGUGUGAGCUUUA
rnacentral:piRNA from 1 species